UGUGAGGUAAACUUUUCUUGUGUGUUUGAAUCAACGUGGCUGGAAAUUGAAGCUGUUUCUUGGGAGGAAAGAAGAGAAGGAGGAGGAAGAAGACGACGACGAUAGGAGAAGGAAGUCAGAGAGAAAAUAUUAAUGUUCUUUCUGUAAGCUUCAUAUUCUUCUUGUCGUUUUCCCUUCCUAUGGUGGCUGACCAUACUCUCUCUCUCUCUCUCUCUCUCUCUCUCUCUCUCUCUCUCUCUCUCUCUCUCUCUCUCUCGUUCCGAACGAGACUGUUGACCCCACUUAGGGAUAAGUUUCCACAGGUCUUAUGGGAUUCAUCCUGUGUCGAUUCAUUGCUAUUUUGAGUAUUUUCAUUUUAUAACGACUCUUCAUCAUCAAUGAUCCGGAAGGGCCUUCUUCAGGAUGACAUGAGCUCUUUCAUUGAUUAAAUAUUUUAAGUUACUAAAAUUUGUGUCACCUUUCGCCAGUAUAUUAACAUUUUGGGCAAGCA